GAUGAACGCUGGCGGCGUGCCUAAUACAUGCAAGUCGAGCGAACAGACGAGGAGCUUGCUCCUCUGACGUUAGCGGCGGACGGGUGAGUAACACGUGGAUAACCUACCUAUAAGACUGGGAUAACUUCGGGAAACCGGAGCUAAUACCGGAUAAUAUAUUGAACCGCAUGGUUCAAUAGUGAAAGACGGUUUUGCUGUCACUUAUAGAUGGAUCCGCGCCGCAUUAGCUAGUUGGUAAGGUAACGGCUUACCAAGGCGACGAUGCGUAGCCGACCUGAGAGGGUGAUCGGCCACACUGGAACUGAGACACGGUCCAGACUCCUACGGGAGGCAGCAGUAGGGAAUCUUCCGCAAUGGGCGAAAGCCUGACGGAGCAACGCCGCGUGAGUGAUGAAGGUCUUCGGAUCGUAAAACUCUGUUAUUAGGGAAGAACAAAUGUGUAAGUAACUAUGCACGUCUUGACGGUACUUAAGCAGAAAGCCACGGCUAACUACGU
rnacentral:rRNA from 1 species